UCAUGCUCUUAUCAGAUAAAAGUUUAAAAAUAACUGAACUCUAUCCCAUCCCUUGGCCUCCAUCUAUAAAAGGAUGGAUUCUCUUGGGCGCAUCGAAGCAAUCAAGCUAGGGUUCCACCUUGUGCUGCCCCCUUGUCCUUCAAUCAUUCACAUACCCAAACACCCCUUCUAGUCAGCCAUAUAGAGAGAGAAAUCAGAGGGGGAG
rnacentral:lncRNA from 1 species